rnacentral:lncRNA from 1 species
CUUAAGUGGAAUGUAUACAUUCCUGAUGGCUAAAAUUCUAAAGAAAAAGUAGGGUGGAGUAAAUCUAAAUUUCAGUUUUUCUGAUUUCAAUCAACUCUCAUCUAAAAUCCCACUUUCUUCAAGUUUUUUUUUCCUUUUCUCCUUCAUGCUAGUGUCUUCCCUCUAACAUUAUCUUGUUUAUCCUAUAUAUAUCUUAUUUGUGCACUGUUAUGUUGUAUUCUUCCAUUAGGUUGCAAGCUUCAUGGGAUAUUAAAAGAGGACUAGCACCUCUGGUGUGAGAGCUUACCAAGCCCUUUCCAGGGAUGCUUAUCCACCUUUGAUGUUCAUCUUUCACUGAACUCUUCACCUGAUGUUCCAAGAAGCUAUAGAAUAAGCAGUGGAUAUACCCUGGAAAAACCAUUUCAGCAAAUGGAGUAAAACAGGUUGAGGGUAACCUACAGGUCUCAAACCUGUUGAGUCCAGGAUGAUCUUGGCAUCUUCAAUGUGUCACCAAACUCUAAGCGCUUCAUAGUGCCUUCCAUCAUGGCCGCUGGAAGGAAUUGUUUAUAUCUGCUCAUUCUGCCAGGGAAGUCUUCAGAUGGUUGUGGAAGACAUACCCCUAACUCACUGAUAGUAUGAUGCCUCCAGGUUUCCCUCAACCUGGGUUAGCUUGACUGCUGAGAAAGUUAUGACAAGGUGUGGCCACUGUACAUGCUACAGCUUCUUGGAGCCACAGAUGUCAAUGAGAUCUGAAAUGGAUUAUUUCAAACCGAGGACAACCCUGAAAAUAUGA